GACAGAGGAGGCAAGCGUUGUCCGGAUUAACUGGGCGUAAAGCGUCCGCAGGUGGCACGGUCAGUGGGGUGUGAAAGCCGGUGGCUUAACCGCCGGAGGCCAUCCCAAACUGACCGCGCUGGAGUCGGGGCAGAGGGUGCCGGAAUUGCCGGUGUGAGUGGUGAAAUGCGUAGAGAUCGGCAGGAAGACCAAGGGGGAAGGCCAGGCA
rnacentral:rRNA from 1 species